rnacentral:tRNA from 1 species
GGGGAUUUAGCUCAGCGGCAUAAGCGCCUGCCUUGCAAGCAGGCAGUCCUGAGUUCGAUCCCCGGUACCCA